UUGUAUUAGAACUCUUGAUUGCAAGUGACAGAAACCCAAUUGUAGCUAAUGCAGAAAAAGGGAAUUUAUUUAGGAAAGGAUAGAUGAUUCAAGGAAAAAAUUGCAUAAGUGAAGUGGGAAAUGGUAGGCCUGAAGUUCAGAUGGAACUAGGAAUUCACAUGCUAUCAGAAAACCAGUUUUGACAUAAUACAUGACAUCACUGUCUUUCCUUGUAGGCUAGUUUCUCAUGGCAGGAAACAUGGCCACCAAUAGCAGUGGAGGACCUCCAUCUUACUGUUUGCAUCACCGGAGAGGAACCAGCCUUCUUUAUCAGCAUGUGAAAGGACAUCAUCAAAGAACAAUGAUGGAGCCUUCUUGCUUCAGGUUAACAAUUUUGAAACCACUGGAAUGGAACAAAUGAGUCUAUAGAUGGCAGAUGGUGGAGCCAGGCAUCUCCUUGUUGAGGUGGAAGUUUGCAGGGAGAAAGAAGUAAGGAGUCCUCUGAAGAACAUGCUUGUAAGAAGAAACCGUCAUGGAAUGGA